UGGGGAAUAUUGGACAAUGGGGGGAACCCUGAUCCAGCCAUGCCGCGUGUGUGAAGAAGGCCUUAGGGUUGUAAAGCACUUUAAGCGAGGAGGAGGGUACUGGUAUUAAUACUACCAGGUACUGGACGUUACUCGCAGAAUAAGCACCGGCUAACUCUGUGCCAGCAGCCGAGGUAAUACAGAGGGUGCAAGCGUUAAUCGGAAUUACUGGGCGUAAAGCGCGCGUAGGUGGUUCGUUAAGUUGAAUGUGAAAGCCCCGGGCUCAACCUGGGAAAUGCAUCCAAAACUGGCGAGCUAGAGUAGGGCAGGGGGUGGUGGAAUUUCCUGUGUAACCGUGAAAUGCGUAGAUAUAGGAAGGAACAACAGUGGCGAAGGCGACCACCUGGGCUCAUACUGACACUGAGGUGCGAAAGCGUGGGGAGCAAACAGG
rnacentral:rRNA from 1 species